GCAGACACAUGACUGAGGGUCAGAGGGGGAGGUACAGCCCUCUCCUUACAGAUCGUCACCUGAACUAAGACACUCAGCCUUCUGCAGACAGCAAGCUCAUCCUCUCAGGCCCCUUUACAGAGCUCACUGGGCCCUCAGAGUGACUUGGAUCUCAGAGGAAGAAGUGUGACCCCAGUCUCCAAGCCCAUUCUCAUUCUAUCACUUCCUGUGUUUCUCCACAGACCCAGUGGCUCAGCCUUUUGUCCAGGCCAACAAUGCCACAGUCACAGAACAUAAGGACUCUGUGGUCCUUACCUGCUCCACAAAUAAUCCUGGGGUCUCCAUCAACUGGUUCUUCAAUGGUCAGAGUCCAAAGGUCAUGGAGAGGAUGAAGCUGUCCCAGGACAACAGCACCCUCACCAUAGACCUUGUCAGGAGGGAGGAUGCAGGGAAUUACCAGUGUGAGGUGUCCAACCCAAUCAGUUGCAGCAAAAGUGACCCCAUCAGGCUGGAUGUGAGCUCUCUGUGGCCUUCACUGAUUUCCUGAAGCCAUACUCGGAUGCUCAUUUUGCACAGUGGAGAUGACACCUGGCCCCCUCAUGGGCAGGGAAGCAGCAGAUAAGAGUUUAGAUGGAAGCAGCACCACAGGUCUCCCUCUGUGGUCCAUCAUUGGCAUUGCAGUCAGGGUCCUGGUCGGACAGGCACUGACAGUGGCCCUGGGUUGUCUCCUGCUCCUCAUAAGGACUGGAAGGUAUGAUGGAGUUUCGUACACACUGAUCCUGUCCUGCAGCUGCCCGCCGGCCAGGACGGGAUCCUGACCUAGGAUUCUGGGCUGGCUUUUUCAGCCCUCCCAAAAGCCCCUGGAUUUUCCCUCUCAUUCCCCUGGCUCUUUCCUCACCAGUUGCUGACUGGGGUGCUUCUUUCACAUGUUCCUCAAUUAUAAAUUAGAGACAAUUAAGGAACAGCUCCUCAAGGUUUUCCUGGUUCACUUGGCAACCCUACAGCCGUGCCAACAGGACUAAGUACUCAGUAAAUGGCACCUCCCGUGGUGUACUUAAGUCCACACGCCCUGCGAGGGGGAUUUGCAGCCUCAGGAUCUGAGGGGGGUCCUGGUCAGGGUCACGCAAUGGAGAGUGGGAGUGCGUGACAGGCCAGGUGGCAUCAUCCUCCAAAUGGAAGCUGCAGGAACCACAGUCUCUGAUGUGUGAGACCAGAGACCUGGGUUCGGCCAGGUAGAGGCCCUGGGAUGUCCUUUAUGCCUCUUGUCCAGGCAGAUGGAGAAGAGGACAGGCCACUGUCACAUUUCAGCAUUUCCUGCCUGAGUAGGUAAGGGUCUGGCCACAGCAGGGGCACCACAUUUAGGGAUCCAACAUACCCAGGGCUCCCCAAGCGUCCUGCACACACAGCUGCAGCCUGGACCCUUCCACUCGGUCAACCCCUCAUGUUUGAUUCCUUUCCUGGGUCCUCCAUCCCUUUUCAGAACACUUUCUUCUAGAUGCCCAUCAUCUUGAGGGUCUUCCCCUCUGGGCUCCAAUGGCCUUUCCUUAUCCCUUCUCCUGGGCCCUUCCUCUGCUAAACAGCACUGGUGGAGAGAGGUGGUCUCUAACCCCUGCCUGGAAUGAGGAUCCUGCUUAUCCCCUGUGCAAAUACCAAAGCUGUGACCUCUCCCUGCACCCCUCACACAUAAGCCUGAUCAUUCUUAGGGCCAGUGGCUGGUGUGAUCUCAGAGUACUCUGGCACCAGGCAUCCACCCCCCGUGAGUACCCUUCAGUCUGGGUGGACUGGGAGCCCUGUAGUUCUGCCCCACAUUGUCCACAACUGGCAGUCAACCCCCUGGAGACUCUGACCCUUUCUCUGUAGCUUCAGUACAGGGCAUCCCAAAUGACUAUACACACUGAAGUCUGGAAUCUAGGUCAUAGGUCAGCACCUUGACCUCACUGGCCCAAAAAUGGCCAGUGAGUCUCUCCCUGGGAGGUACUCCUUCUCCCUGGUUCGCUGAGAGCAGUGGGCCUGUCCUCUCCUGGGAGGAUGGGCCCAAGCUUCUCCACAGCCCUGGUGCUAACA